rfam:Candidatus Woesebacteria bacterium RIFCSPLOWO2_01_FTLL_39_10 rifcsplowo2_01_scaffold_6064, whole genome shotgun sequence.
AAGUCUGAUAUUAACGCAGACAGUGGAUGCCUUGGUACAAGUUGCCGAAGAAGGACGCACAUGGUUGCGAUAAGCGUCGGGAAGCUGCCACGAAGCUAUGAUCCGACGGUGUCCGAAUGGGGAAACCUAAUCCCACUAAACGGGAUUGUUUACACUCAAAGUUUGUGCCUUCGGGUACGAUAUAAAGUGUAAAACGGAGACCACCUGAACUGAAACAUCUAAGUAAGGUGAGGAAGAGAAAUCAACUGGCCUCGCUUGACGCAAGUCUAAGCGGGCGAGAUUGCCUUAGUAGCGGAGAGCGAAACGGUAAGAGCCCAAACCGCUCCGAUCCUUCGGGAUUGGAACGGGGUUGUAGGACUUCGACAUGGGAUUGUAUUUGGUAGAAGAAUAGCUUGGAAUAGCUAACCAUAGAAAGUGAAAGUCUUGUAAGCGAAAUCAAAUACAACCCUAGGAGUAUCCUGAGUACCCCGAUACAAGUAUAUCGGGGGAAGCUGGGGGAUCCAUCCUCCAAGGCUAAAUACAACUUGUGACCGAUAGUGAACUAGUACCGUGAGGGAAAGGCGAAAAGAAGGGCGGGACGCCCAGUGAAAUAGAACCUGAAACUGUUUGCGAACAAACCGACAGAGCUGUGUACAGCUCUGAACUAUUAACUUUUAACAAAUUUACAAAUUAACUAAAUAUUUUUCCGAGUUAAUUGUUAACUGUCAAUUUGUUAAUAGCUUUGCGCUGUACAUGGUAAUGUCGUGCCUAUUGAAGAAUGAGCCGGCGAGUCAUUGCGUAGCGCAUAGUCUAAGUUAGCAUAAGCUGACGAAGACGUAGGGAAACCGAGUCUGAAAAGGCGAUUAGUGCUACGUGAUGGACCCGAAACCGGGUGAUCUAUCCAUGAGCAGGGUGAGUCCCGACGAAGGUCGGGAGGAGGCCCGAACCGUUGUGAGUUGCAAUUCGCUCGGAUGACUUGUGGAUAGGGGUAAAAUGCCAAUCGAACCCGGAGAUAGCUGGUUCUCCCCGAAAGGUCUAUAGGGACCGUGGUCAUGUAAACUUAUGGGUGGUAGAGCUACUGAAUGGGCUAGCGAGAGGUAACUCAAGUUAGCUCAACCAAACUCCGAAUAACCAUAAGAGAUCCGUGACUAGACAGUCUCAUCGGGCUAAGCUGAUGAGGCAAAAGGGAAACAUCCCAGACUCUCAGCUAAGGCCUCUAAAUCGUCCAUCCUACGUCCGCUUUGCGGACUACGGAGGACCCUCCAUAGCCUUGUGCGAAGGAGGGCAACUAAGUUUGAAAGGAAGUCGUAAACCUAAGACAGCCAGGAGGUUGGCUUAGAAGCAGCCACCCUUUAAAGAAAGCGUAACAGCUCACUGGUUAAGGUUUGCGGCGCCGAAAAUUUAUCGAGGAUAAGUUGCGUGCCGAAGCUAGAGGUGUAGCGAAGCUACACAACUAUUAACAGUUGACCAAUUAACCAAUUGACAACGAUUGACAAUUAACCAUUCGUUAAUUUGUGAAUUUUGUUAAAUGUUAAUUUGUGAAUUUUGUUGAUGGUUGCGUAGCUUUGCUACGCGGUAGGGGAGCGUUCCACCGUUAGUGAAGUCACACUGUAAAGUGUGGUGGAAAUUGUGGAAGUGAGAAUGCCGGCAUGAGUAGCGUACUAGAGAGGUGAGAAUCCUCUCCACCGAAUACCCAAGGUUUCCGUCGCGAGGUUCGUCCUCGACGGGUUAGUCGGUACCUAAGACGAGGCCAAAACGGCGUAGUCGAUGGACAACUGGUCAAAAUUCCAGUACUUACCUUGAAUCGCCAACGUCGUGCAUGGCACGAAGGACGUAAGGAUUAAAAGAAUAAGUGAUAAGUCUUAAGAGAAAAGCCUUAUUUGUUAUAUUUUGUAUUUAUUGUUUUUUGGAGACUAUUCAUUUAUUACUUUAUAUUUUUAUUUCUUUCGCGCUGUGUGCGAUGAGCUGGGGGCUGACUGAACAGGAUGUAUGAUGUCCCGAUGUGAUAUCGGGAUGUAAGUUGCAAGAUAGUGGCAGCAGGAAAAUCCGCUGAAACGAUUAAUCAAGCAAUAAUGCAAACCCUAGUCAUUGAUUGGGGGAUUUCAUCACAUUCAGUUCACAAGAAAAGGCUCGCAGUGAGAUUCAAGAUAAGCCGUACCGCAAACCGACACAGGUGGGUUGGUCGAGAAGACUAAGGUGAGCGAGAGAAAGAGGUUCAAGGAAUUCGGCAAAAAAACUGGACGUAAGUUCGCAAGAUGUCCUGCCAUGUACCAUGCGCAAGCUUAGGUACGUGGUUGCAACAAAAGAUUGCUAAUCGACUGUUUAUCAAAAACACAGGUCCGUGCAAAGGCGAAAGCCAAAGUAUACGGGCUGACGCCUGCCCAGUGCCGGUAAGUUAAGGGGAUCGGUGCGUAGCACCGAGGAUAUUAGGAUUUCAAGAUGAUAGUGAGUAGUCAAAUUUUUUUAAGACUAUUCACUAAAAUCCUAUCAUCUUAGUAUCUUCAGUGCUACGCGCUGUGAACUGAAGCUCCGGUAAACGGCAGCAGUAACUAUGAAAUAGUCGUAGUUCUAAAACCUAGUCAUGUACCAGAAUAAAUACGAUACAUGAUGGUGAACUGAACUUUGUUAUAGUUCACCACUAUAUGCUGGAAUAUCCGUACUGUAGUUAAUUUCAAGUAGAAUGAACUUAACGAACAGUUGAAGUAUCUGACGCUACCAUUUAAAAUGGUAACAAUGCGUUCAGUGCGGACAAUCAGCAGGAAAGGCCUUCAAAAAUUUCUAAUUACUAAUUUCUAAUUAACCUAAAUAAUUACCCAAUUUUGAAAUUAAUAAAUUGGUGCUUUUUUAGAAAUUAGAGCAAUUAGGUCAAUUAGUUAUUAUUGAGGGAAUCCCCAGAGACUAUACGCUAGGGUACAUCCGUUUACGAAUGUACAUGAUAUAGUCCGACCCCUAUAGCGAUAUAGGGAACCGUAAUCAAUCGGUCUAAAGUAACAAUGUGAACUGUUCUACGGUAGCGAAGUUCCUUGUCGGGUAAGUUCCGACGCGCACGAAUGGCGUCACGAGUUAGCAACUGUCUCGAGCCUCUACUCGGCGAAAUUGCGGUGGCUGUGAAGACGCGGCCUACUUCCACCAGGACAAAAAGACCCCGUGGAGCUUUACUGUAGCUUGGCAUUGUCUUGUGCGUGUCAAUUGUUUAGCGUAGGAGGGAGCUUGUGCUUUGCACAAAGGAUGUUAGGAUUUUAGAAUGAUAGUGAGCAGUCAAAAACAAAAAAAGACUAUUCACUGAAAUCCUGUCAUCUUAUCAUCUUUCGCGCAGAGCGCGAGCAUCACUGAAACACCUCCCUUUGGGACGUGGCAAGACUGACCCAAUGAUCCUGCAUACGGAUCAGGAGACAGUGCUAGGUGGGCAGUUUUACUGGGGCGGUACCCUGCCAAAGAGUAACGCAGGGGCACAAAGGUUGGCUUAGUACGGAUGGACAUCGUACCUAAAUGUGUAAAGGCAUAAGCCAGCUUGAUAGUGAGAGCUACGGCUCGAGCUAGUGCGAAAGCAGGUCUUAGUGAUCCUCCGCAACCUAUUGGACAGGUUCGGAGCUUAACGGAUAAAAGCUACCCCGGGGAUAACAGAGUAGUCGCACCCGAGAGUCCAUAUCGACGGUGCGGUUCGCUACCUCGAUGUCGGCUCAGCGCAUCCUGGGGCUGGAGAAGGUCCCAAGGGUCGGUCUGUUCGCCCGUUAAAGCGCUACGUGAGCUGGGUUCAGAACGUCGUAAGACAGUUGAUCCCGAUGACAUAUCGGGAUGACAAUGAGCUGUCUUUCCUAUUGAUAUUUUGAACCUUUCAAUUGAACUGUGAAAAAGAGAACUCUGUAAAUAUAGGAUCCCAACCAGUUGGGAAUAAAUCUAGCUAUAUGCUGGAAACUCCGAGAAUCUUGUGCUACCUUAAAUUAAGGUGAUAAAGCAACAAGUGCGGACAAUCAGCAGGAAAGGUCAAAUAGGUUUAAUUAAAUUUAUUAAAAUCGGAUUAAUAUUAGUUGUAUUUUACUUAAUUGUAGAUUGGAUAUUGAAUAGGAUAAGUGGUCCAAACGAAUUAUCUGAUCUCGCUUUAAGAAAGAUGACUUCAAUUUUAAUCUUGUGGAUUAUAAUGUAUUUUGUUUACAAAAUAGUUCAUAGAAUUUACAAAUCUUAACCUUUUUGAAAUCCUCAACGACUAUACGCCAGACCCUGAGUUAAUCGAAGGGAAGAUAUAGUCUGAUCUCCAUGGCGACAUGGAGGGUUGAAGAAUCGUUCAGCCGUAAAAACAGACGUAAUUUCAUUUUUAAUUUUCAACUGUAAUUUUGCAUUUUGAAUUUUAAAUUUUGAUUUAAUAAUGUCGGACUCUAUCCGGUGGAAGCGUUCGAGUCUUGAAGGGAGCUGGCCUCAGUACGAGAGGACCAGGCUGGGGGAAUCCCUGGUGUGCCGGUUGUCGCGUCAGCGGCAACGCCGGGUAGCUACAUUCCCACGGGAUAACCGCUGAAAGCAUCUAAGUGGGAAGCCCACCCUAAGAUUAGGACUCGUGUCGUGCAGAGCACGAAGGAUACAAGGAUUAAAGAUUAAAGGAAUAAAUGAUAAGUCAAAGGACUAUUCACUAAUUCUUUUAGUCCUUAUUCUUGUGUUUUUCGCGCUUUGCGCGACGAAGACCCCGAGAAGAAGACUCGGUAAUUCCGGCAGGCGGUGGAAGCCCUGUAAAGGGUUAAGCCUACCUGAUUCGGAUUGGUUGAUUUCAAACUUUU